AUUAAGUUUAAUUUAAUAUAGGAUCUGCUCAAUGAUUUAUUAAAUAGCUGCAGUAUUUUGACUGUGCAAAGGUAGCGUAAUAAUUAGUCUUUUAAUUGAGGACUUGAAUGAAAGAUUUGAUGAGAAAUAAACUUUAUUAUUUAUAUAAUUAAAAUUUUAUUUUUAAGUAAAAAAGCUUAAAUAAUUUAAAGGGACGAUAAGACCCUAUAAAACUUUAUAAAUGUUAAUUUAAAUUUUUUUGGUUUUAUAAAUAUUUUUAUUUUAUUAUUUAUUUUAUUGGGGUGAUAAAAAAAAUUGUUAAACUUUUUUUAAAAUUUUACAUUAUUUAAUGAAUAUUUGAAUUAAAAUUUUUAAUUAAAGGAAAAAGUUACUUUAGGGAUAACAGCGUAAUUAAUUUUUUAAGUUCAAAUUUAAAAAUUAGUUUGCGACCUCGAUGUUGAAUUAAGAUUAAUCUUAGGUGCAAAAUUUUAAGUGUUAGGUCUGUUCGACCUUUAAAUUCUUACGUGA
rnacentral:rRNA from 1 species